AUUAGGUGAGGACGCGAACCUGUUGCGCGGGGGGGUUAGUCUAUUGUCGAAAAUCGUUGUGAUAAGAUGUAUGACUCCGUGUGACAUUUAUUAACUGUGUAAUACUUUCGACGCCAUUUUUCAUAGUCACGUUACUUGACUUCGUUCAACUAACGUAAAUUAUUGGCAGAUUGCGAAGGAAACUUUGAAGCGUUAAAGAGAGGGCGAGGACGCCAUGAAAUUCAAAAGGACGCCAUUAAAACUAACGAUAAAUUCAAUAUGGAGCCUUCGCUUUUUCCACGAUGAUUUCUUUGGACUUGACGAUGAUUUCAUCAUAACGUUCUUAAUAGUGAGUCGCAU